rnacentral:rRNA from 1 species
UACGAAGGGGGCUAGCGUUGCUCGGAAUGACUGGGCGUAAAGGGCGCGUAGGCGGAUUGUACAGUCAGGCGUGAAAUUCCCGGGCUCAACCUGGGGGCUGCGCUUGAGACGUGCGAUCUUGAGUGGGGAAGAGGGUCGUGGAAUUCCCAGUGUAGAGGUGAAAUUCGUAGAUAUUGGGAAGAACACCGGUGGCGAAGGCGGCGACCUGGUCCUUGACUGACGCUGAGGAGCGAAAGCGUGGGGAGCGAACAGG